GCACGGGGUAGUGGUUUGAACUCUCGACUACAACUCUGGAGGCUAGGGUUCGAUUCCCUGCUUGGCCA